GGCCUGGCACUGGCUGGGGUCACCCACAUCUCCUGGGCCAGAGCCUGCUGUCCCCGCAUAUCUAGGACAUGGUGUUGCAACAUGUUCCCUUGCACCAGGUGACAUCCCAGGCCCAGCUCCAGGCAUCAGGGCUCUGCAGCAAACACACCCAGGAGCAGACAGCCCACUGAAGGCAGAGGAGGGGACAUACUACCCCACAUGACAUCAUGGACAGGUUCCUGGAAAGUGCAAACAAGGAAGCCAGAGGGACAGAAGUUAAAAGACAGGAACAGAGUGAAGAUCUUAUGACAGAUUUUGGGAGCCAAGAACAUACUCCAACUCCUAGAGACCCCAAAACAGUUCUAAUAUAAAACCCUCAUCCAGAUCAUUCA